AUACCUUUCUCGGCCUUUUGACUAAGAUCAAGUGUAGUAUAUGUUCUUAUAAGUUUAAUAUCUGAUACAUGGACUAUUAGCUCACACAAUAUUAACUCAUUUUUUUAGGGAAGACCCAUUAAGGCAGCUUGCUGUCUGAGCCUUCGAGCGUCGCCUUGGCGUUGCACUACUCGGUCUGGCGCACCCUAU